GUCUUGGUAGCUCAGCUGGAUAGAGCACCCGCCUUCUAAGCGGACGGUCAUGAGUUCGAAUCUCGUCCAGGACACCA
rnacentral:tRNA from 1 species